rnacentral:rRNA from 1 species
UGGGGAAUAUUGCACAAUGGGGGAAACCCUGAUGCAGCGACGCCGCGUGAGCGAUGAAGGCUUUCGAGUCGUAAAGCUCUGUCCUAUGGGAAGAUAAUGACGGUACCAUAGAAGAAAGCCCCGGCUAAUUACGUGCCAGCAGCCGCGGUAAUACGUAAGGGGCGAGCGUUGUCCGGAAUUAUUGGGCGUAAAGAGUGCGUAGGCGGCAAAUUAAGUCAGAUGUGAAAACUAAGGGCUCAACCCAUAGAUUGCAUCUGAAACUGAUAUGCUUGAGUCAAGGAGAGGAAAGUGGAAUUCCUAGUGUAGCGGUGGAAUGCGUAGAUAUUAGGAGGAAUACCGGUGGCGAAGGCGACUUGCUGGACUUGAACUGACGCUGAGGCACGAAAGCGUGGGGAGCAAACAGG